rnacentral:rRNA from 1 species
UACGGAGGGUGCAAGCGUUAUCCGGAUUUAUUGGGUUUAAAGGGUGCGUAGGCGGUUUCUUAAGUCAGCGGUGAAAGUUUUCAGCUUAACUGGAAAAAUGCCGUUGAUACUGAGAGGCUUGAAUAUGGUUGCUGUGGGUGGAAUGUGUGGUGUAGCGGUGAAAUGCUUAGAUAUCACACAGAAUAUCAAUUGCGAAGGCAGCUCACAAAGCCAUUAUUGACGCUGAGGCACGAAAGUGUGGGGAUCAAACAGG